rnacentral:rRNA from 1 species
CAUGGCGCAGCUUACCAUGCAGUCGAGGGGUAGAAAUAUCCCUGGCGCACGGGUGCGUAACGCGUAGGCAAUCUGCCCUUCACACCGACAUAACAGUUCUAACGGAUUGAUAAUAUCGGAUGUUGUUAUUUCAUCACCUGAUGGGAUAAUGAAAGUUUAGGCGGUGAAGGAUGAGCCUGCGUCUGAUUAGGUAGUUGGCGGGGUAACGGCCCACCAAGCCGACGAUCAGUAGCUGGUCUGAGAGGAUGAUCAGCCACAUUGGGACUGAGACACGGCCCAGACUCCUACGGGAGGCAGCAGUGAGGAAUAUUGCGCAAUGGACGGAAGUCUGACGCAGCAAUGCCGCGUGCGGGAUGAAGGCGCUAUGCGUCGUAAACCGCUGUAGCGUGGGGCAAAAAGCACCCUCGGGGUGUUAGAUGGUACCACGAAAGUAAGCAUCGGCUAACUACGUGCCAGCAGCCGCGGUAAUACGUAGGAUGCAAGCGUUGUCCGGAUUUACUGGGUGUAAAGGGUGCGCAGGCGGGCUUGUAAGUCAGAGGUGAAAGCCCGGAGCUUAACUCCGGAAAUGCCUUUGAUACUGCAAGUCUUGAAUCUGAUAGAGGCUCAUGGAAUAUGUGGUGUAGCGGUGAAAUGCGUAGAUAUCACAUAGAACACCAGUGGCGAAGGCGGUGAGCUGGGUCAGUAUUGACGCUCAUGCACGAAAGUGUGGGUAGCAAACAGGAUUAGAUACCCUGGUAGUCCACACCUUAAACGAUGUAUGCUUGAUGUUGGGGUAGCAAUACCUCAGUGUCGUAUGAAAUCCGAUAAGCAUACCACCUGGGAAGUACGAUCGCAAGGUUGAAACUCAAAGGAAUUGACGG